rnacentral:rRNA from 1 species
ACUCCUACGGGAGGCAGCAGUGAGGAAUAUUGGACAAUGGGCGAGGGCCUGAUCCAGCCAUGCCGCGUGCAGGAAGAAUGCCCUAUGGGUAGUAAACUGCUUUUAUACGGGAAGAAAAAGGGGCACGUGUGCCCUGUUGACGGUACCGUAAGAAUAAGGACCGGCUAACUCCGUGCCAGCAGCCGCGGUAAUACGGAGGGUGCAAGCGUUAAUCGGGAAUUACUGGGCGUAAAGCGUGCGCAGGCGGUCUGUUAAGCGAGAUGUGAAAGCCCGGGCUCAACCUGGGAACUGCAUUUCGAACUGGGCAGACUAGAGUCUUGUAGAGGGGGUAGAAUUCCAGGUGUAGCGGUGAAAUGCGUAGAGAUCUGGAGGAAUACCGGUGGCGAAGGCGGCCCCUGGACAAAGACUGACGCUCAGGCACGAAAGCGUGGGGAGCAAACAGGAUUAGAU